rnacentral:lncRNA from 1 species
AAGGACAAAUCUCCAAAAUAGCACAUUUCUAAGUUUAUAUCACAAAAAUAGCAUUUAAAACCUAAAAUGAACAAAAUAGCACAUUUCUAAGUUUAUUCUUUGAAAAUUUUAAUUUUUUUAUUUUUCAAAAUUUGAAAUCUUAUCCCCAAAACCACAUUUCUCAACUCUAAACCCUAAACCCUAAACUCUAAACCCUAAACCCUAAACCCUAAACCUUAAACUCUAAACCCUAAGCCCUAAACUCUAAACCCUAAACCCUAAACCCGAAAUCCUAAACUCUAAAUCAUAAACCCUAAACUUUAAACCCUAAACCCUAAUGUAAUUACUCACUACUCCCACCACCUCCACUAUCUCCACCAUCUCCACCAUCUCCACCAUCCCCAACUUCUUUAAAGAGAAAGAGAGAGAGAAAGAGAGAGAAAAAGAGAGAGAAAGCUCACCUGAGCUCGUCGCCGGAGCAACCGUGUGCCGUGAUCACGUUGAGCUCGUCACCACCGUUCGCUGCAGCUUAGAAUCGCCGGAAACCGCCAUACAGUUAAGCUUAGUUUCGUCCGUUUAGUAAUUCGCCGAUAACUCUCUAACCGUUGCGAAUCUCGUGCAUCCAAGACCAUCAUCGUGUUCCUCUCGUCGAGACGAAGCCGUAGACACCAACCACGCCUCGAACGGAGCCCGGACGAAGCCGCACGCGCCUCCCGAAGAUUCGCCUCGGCGAGCGCAUGAAACACACGCGCCGCCGCCGGACCACCGUUCUCCGCCGCAGCGCCGCCGCCGUACCACCGUUCUCCACCGCCGCGGCCGCCGCCGUAGCUCCGCCGUCGCCGCCGGUGACCGACACCGGCGACUCGCCAACUCGGCCGAGUUGACCCGGUGAGUCAACUCGGUUGACUCGGUCAACCGGUGGUUUGACCGGUUUAAAUCGAUUUCGAUUCAGUUAGGUUAAACCGGUCGGUUAAAAUCAAUUGAAAAUCGGUUAGGAUAAACCGAAUUAAUUAAUUAAAUAAUUAAUUAAUUAAUUAAUUAAUUAAUUAAUUAAAUAAUUGAUUUUUGACCAGCGGGUUGACUUUUCCGUAAAUAUUCGUUUUAAACCGUUCGAAAGGCGUUCUGACUCAAAAUUUCGAUCUGAUUUCUGAUUUGGAGUCCAUUUGAACAGCUGGAGUUCAUAUAUACCACUUCUCUUCAUUGCUAAGGUGAGGGCUACUCCGUUAAAUCCCGAGCUAGUUUAGUACUACCGUUAUGGAAAGUUUAGUUUCGAAACAUGAUCCGUCUCUGUGAAUCGAGUCUGUUUGAGAGUCUUGCUUGUUUAUUAUUAUUAUUGAUUGUUAAACCGGAAAUAGGAUAAUAGAGGAUUCAACGGUUGAUUGAAAUGAUUGAUGUUAAGAAUUGUUAUAUAUAUGUAUAUAUAUGCGAGUCCAUGUUUUGGAGAUUUGCGGGGUGCAGAGACGUUUGCACUGGCUGCCUAUGUUUGAGGAGUUUUGCGGGGUGCAGAGACGUUUGCACUGGCUGCCAUGUUUGUGGAGAUUUGCGGGGGGUACAGAGACGUUUGUACUUACGACGCCUUAGAGAUUUGCGGGGUGCAGUGUGGACUACUGUGCUAGCGACGCCUGUAGAGUUAUAUAUAUUUAUAUCCUUAUGAGGAAAUGUGAUAUGCUAUUAUCGCAUUGGUUGUAUCAUGUCUAGUCCACUAGACAUAUGUGAUUGUUUUGUGUGGUGUAAUAGGCACCGUGAUUGUCUCGUGCUAGAGCUAGGCCUACAUAGUUGUAGUGCUAUGAACUGAGUCAGUGGUUUGCGGUUUAGCAUCCCAUACCUCACUGGGCGAUUCCCCUGUCGCUCACCCCUCCUUAUUUCCCCCUUUCAGGUGAGACCGACGAGCAGGAGUGAUUUUUCGGACCGGUGCUUUUGGGCUUUUACUACUAUUGGGCUUUUGGGCUUCUAUCGUUUUAUCGCUUUUAUCGUUAUCGGGCCUCUAGGCCUUUGGGCUUUUAUCGUUUAUGUUAUUUCGUAUUUCGGACUCUCGGUUUAUGUCGUACUUUAUGUUUCAGAUUUUAUUUUAUAUUAUGGAAUUCAAGUGUGGAUGUUGACUUUCAAAUAUUUAUAUAUGGAUAUUUCAGAUAUUUGUACUUAUCGAAUUAUUUUUACUAUUUCGAAAGUGACGGGUGUCACACCUAAAUCCUAAAUCCCACCCUUUAACUUUAAACCCUAAGUUUGUGACUUUUGAUAAAACAUUAAGUGCUAUUUUUGUGACUUUUGACCUUGAGUGCUAGUUUGGGAACAAAAACUCGAUUUUGUGCUAUUUUUGUCUUUUUCUCAUACAAAAAUAAUACAUAGUAUGAAAAUACAAAACAACAAAUAUUAUAAUGAAAAUAACUAUAAAACAAGGAGAGAUCAAGUGAAGUAAUUGUAUAGACACUUUUCAUUCAACGAUCUAUUAAUAGAUCAACUCUAAUAAUUUUCUUGCGAAUUUUAAAAUCUUUGUUGCAUCAUUGUCACCAAUUUUCUUUGUUUUAUUAAGUUAACCAGAUUAGAGCUAUAGAUAUUAUUUGGUAUAGAAUUUAAUGUACCAAUUCAACCGAGAAUAUUUUUUCUUUUAUUAUGUAUUAUAAAGAUAUUUUUUUUAAUAAAAGGAACAUUUAUUUUUGAUAUUUAUUUCCAUGGUAUACUAUUGAAAGAUUCAUGCAAAUUAAUAAGAGUAUUUUGGAUAAAUAUGUGUAUUUCCAUAACCAAAAUGAUUUAGUUAAUUUUGGUUAGAUCUGAUAUCCAAAAAUAAGUUAUUUUCUUGUUAAUUAUAAUAGCAACGAAAAGGGAAAAUAAUAAUUAAAAUUCGGUUGUAAAUUCAUUUAAUUAAGAUUCGGUUGUAAAUUCAUUUAAAAAAAAAUACUAAUUUCUACAUUUACAUGAUCCAAACUAAUAAAAAUCAUCUAAAUAUACUACCUCUCUUAGUUUAUUCAAAAAAUUUAUUCAAUGUUAAUGUUGGUUUCUUUCACAUAUAAAAAAAGGAUAACAUUGUUUUUAGAUCCCAACUGUAUUAGUGAAUCUAAACCAAUUUAGAUUCGGUUAGUUUCUUUCAUCUAUAUAACAUUUGAAUGAGGUUCAUGUGGUUCAUGAAAAGUAUGUAGUUGUAGACUUACAAAAGCACCUGAGAGAUAGUCUUCUAAUCCUUUAAAAGCAUAUGAUCACCACACUAAGGAACUAACUUGUAUCAACCAAUACCAAGAAAUGAUACUGAUCAUAAGGAAUCCAGCCGGAACUAAAAAAAUGUCUUACAAAAAAAAACUAACUGCAAAUUUUGCAUGAUAAGAACAGGCUCCUGCAAUGAUGCUGCUCCCUCAUUCACAUAACUCCCAAUCAGGAAGAAUCUGACAUGUUGGAGAACGUUUUGCAACUCUAUUAACCUCCUCGAAGAUUUCUUCAUCAGAGACAUAUCGAGGAUAGUUCGUGAGACUGAGAGUGAGUUUCUUCAGGACUGCUGCGUUCUCAAGAAAGUAAGUGGCUACUUCCAUCUCCUGUUCUCCCCUCACAUGGAUUCUCUUAAGCUGAACACACUCGAGAGUCGAUAGGAAGCACCCAGGCACAUUUGCGAGUUGGUAUAAAUCCUCCGUCUCAACUGGAUAAAAAAUCUCCUGGAAAACACACGAAAAGGCUGAGUUUGCAAUUAUAAAUGUAGACCAUAAGCACACACACAGUGUUAGUUGAGAGUUUUUAAUUACCAAGAUUAGGUGUUUCAGAUUGGGGCAACACUCAAGAAAGGCUGGCAAAAAGUGUAGUGAAAUAUACAUAUACCUUCACUGUCUUCUCAGAGAUGAUCAUGUGUCUUACAUUCGUUAUCCCAGAGAGAAAAUAACGGAUUUCAUUUCUCUUUGAAAAGUCCUCCGGAUCAAACUUGUCAGCAAACUUGAUAUUAAGGUCAGCCAUGAACAAAGAAUCCAGGUUCUUCACCGCGAUGCUAUCAAACUGAUCUUCUCCGAGAGUCAUACGCUCUAGCCUUGGAGCAUCGAUCUCAAGUGUGUAUUUCACAAACAAACUGCUGCAAUAUUCUCCGUACCAGAGCGGAACACGAAACCUCUUCAAGCUCCCAGACCUCACACGCAUGAUGAAACUAUCAACCUUACCCUCGAAAUUAGAAUGCAUAUCCCUAACCAAGGUCAGCUCUUCAAGAACAGGACAUCCCGACACGAGUCUCUCCAGACUCGCGUCAUCUCGAAAGAGAGCUUUUACAAGAGUCAUGGACUUGAGACAAGGCAUGUAGACAAGACCAGGAUCCUCAACACCCGAAUACGUGAGCUUUAAGGAAACCAGUGUCUUGCUCGUGUACAGAUUCAGAGGCAUGUACUCAAUAAAAGGAUAGGUUUUGGUGUCACGGUCUAUAUAGUAAAUACAACCCUUAACGUCUAGAUGUUGAGGUCCACGGUGAAUCACUGUGCUGAUCCGAUCCUUGAGCCCCUCUAUCUCGAAGUUACCGCACUUCACCUUGACUUUUAGUAGGCGUAAAUCAGGGUUAAACUCUAGGAGCCUGUCGAAGAAGCUGAGGACCACUCCGUCUUCUCUGUAAGGGAAGUCGUCGCAGUUUAAGUCGAGAGACGGAACACUUAGCCACAGAUUCUUCCAUCUGGUUGAUAAGACGCUGGUCUUCACCGAGUGUUUAGUUGGAAGGUAGGAGAGUAUUUUAUAGUAAGCAAAGGUUCUGGCAACUCGCUGAUCCUGUCGCACCGAGGCAUCACCAGAGACCUUAAGAAGCAUCAACAAACAACAACAACAGCAUGUAAAGGAUAGGUCUUUAUUGAAUCCUAGGUGAUGGGUUUCCCUACUUCAAACUACAAUGCGAUUUAAAACGAAAAACGGAUUCUGGGUAUCACGAGACGAGGCCCUAAGAGCAUCAACAAACAAACAACAGCAUAUAAAAAGGAGACGCCUUUAUCGAAUCGUAGGAGAUGGGUUUCUCUAACUCAGACUACAAUGCGUUUAAAAUAGGGUAUGUAAACGAAACGUAAUCUGGGUUUUUUUGAAGGACUCACCGGAGAGUUGAUUCGCCUGCAGAGUAUAGCGGAGGGUGAAACGAAACUGAUCGUUUAAGUAUUUAUUAGCAUGAUUGAAGCUGUUCCGACUCCGAGCGUUUCAAAAAUAAAAGCUUUUAAUAUAUCUUUCCACGGUAUACGAUCGGAAUAUUCAUUCAAAUUAAUGACUGUCUUUGGAGAAAUAUAUAUAUUUCCGUAAUCAAAGUGACUUUAGUUUUUUUUAGUUUUGAUAUCCAAACAAUCUUCCCAAAAUCAAUUAUUUUCUUUUUAUUUAUUAAAGCAACGAAAAGGGAAACUAAUAUCUAUCAUAAAUUGCAUUUAAUAUUCAGAUUUUAUUGGUAUAGAUUCAAGAGAAUUCCCCAAACAAAAACAAUUUCUACAUUUACAUGAUUAGAGACUAAUAAAAGGGAAACCAUUUAAAUAUAAUAAAUACAGUCAAAUCAUAAUUAUGUUCAAUAGUAACGUUGGUAAAGAGAUUUACUCCCUCCGUUUCAUAUUAGUUGUCGUUGUAAAGAACAUAUUAGUUGUCGUUGUAAAGAAAAAUUUCCGUUUCAAAAUAAGUGUCGUUUUGUGAUUUCAAUGAAAAAUUUAUUGACAAGAUUCUUUUGUUUAUUUUUCUAUUGGUUGAAAUAUGGUUAGGUGUAUAGACAAUGAUGUUUUUAUUUUAAAAAUGUACAAAAUUAUAUGUUUUAUUAAUAUGUGUGCAUGAACCUAAAACGACAAAUAAAAUGAAACGGAUGAAGUAUUUCGUUUGGAUAACAUUGUUUUUAUAUCCAAAUUGUAUUAUUGAAUCUACAAACCCAUUCCAGGGUAUGUGAGUUUCUUUAUUAUAUUGAACUGAUUUGAUUUUAAUAAGGAUUUGCAUGAUUUGUUAAAUUUUAUAUAGUUUUUUUUUUGUUAAAUCACUCUAAAAUCUCAACUAAAAAACUAUAAAAUUCCUAGGUUUUUAAUUCUCGUAUGUAAUUAGAUAUUUCAAUUAGGGUCGAAGUCCGCCGUCCGAGCCCGUCCAUCCAUAAAAAUUACAGGACUUGGGUUUAGUUUUAUAAGCCCAAAAAAUUAGUUUUUUGGGUUUUGGAUAUUUUGGGUCUAAACCCGUUUGGACUAGGGUCGGCCCGAAAACCCAAAAUUUUAUAUUUUAGCUUAAAUAUUAUUGUUAUUGCAAUCCAAACGAUUAUUAGUAUUGACAUAUUAUUUUGAUAUAGUUAUCCACUCUAAUAAAGCAAAUAUAAAAGUUGUUAAUAAUUUAAUUGUUUGAUCAUUACAAGUGUCACAUUUUAAAUUUUGCAAAAGUACUUUUUUCUUUCAUGUACAACACGUUUUUUUUUCAAUAUACAAAGUACGAAACGUUUGACCAUGGUUAUCAUAAAUUUUAUUUUCUUAUAUGUUUAGUUUUAAUUUAUAUUUGAUUAUUUAAAUCUUAUUAAAUUUAAUUUGUUUAUAAUAUGUUUUUAAAGCAUACGAAAAAGGAUUAAAAAAAAAGUUUAAACACAUUUUAUAUUUUAAUACAAUAAAAAUGAAACUGUUUUUUUUUUAAUGAAAUUUUACAUGUAUUAAAACGAUGGAUAUGGUAAUGACAAAUUAUUUUUUGAAAAGCCCAAAAAAAUCCGAAAAGCUCUAUAACCCUAUAAAGACCGGACCGGACUUUGAAUUCUAGGCCCAAAAUAUUUCCGGGCCAGGCCGGACUCAAAUAUUUACGAACUCGGCGGGUUUGGGCCAGGCUGAGCCGGACCAGCCCGAAUUGACACCCUUACCUGUAACAUACCAUACAUGUGAAUCACAGUGAGGGAGAGAACCGAGAACAAAAUAGCUAAAGGGUUUCGAGCGGUAAACCGAGCAAGCAACAUUCCCAAUGACAUGCCAGUCAUAGUUGCCAUAUUGUCUCUUGGCCUCCUUCCUUUCAGUAGAUAAUACCCCCAAAAAAAACUACUAAAAAUUUCAUAUUUAUAGUUUCUAAAUCAUUCACAGUGAAAACUUGCGUCAACCACCAUGGUUUAAGGAAUCCAACCAGAACAAACAAAUGUCUACAAAAAGACUUAUAUUGCAAAUUUUUCAUGAAAAGACAGACUCCUGCAAUGAUAAUGUUCCCUCAUUCACAUAACUCCCAAUCAGGAAGAAUUUGGCAUGCUGGAGAACGUUUUGCAACUUUAUUAACCUCCUCGAAGAUUUCUUCAUCCGAGACAUAACGAGGAUAGUUCGUGAGACUGAGAGUGAGUUUCUUCAGGACAGCAGCGUUCUCAAGAAAGUAGGUGGCUACUUUCAUCUCCUCUUCCUCCCACUCAUGGAUUCUUUUAAGCUGAACACACUCGAGAGUCGAUAAGAAGCACCCAGGCACAUUUGUGAGUUCAAAUGCAUCCUCCAUCUCCCUUGAAUAAUAAACCUCCUGGAAACACACACAAAAGGCUGAGUUUGAAAUUAUAAAUGUAGACAAAACCACCCACGAGUUUUUUUUUUGUACCAAGAUUAGGUGUUUCAGAUUUGGGCAACACUCAAGAAAGGCUGGCAAAAACUGCAGUAACUUGUAAGGGAACACGGCUUCUAAACGUGACAAGUAAUUGAAUUUGGGAAUCAGCCCUACGUUGGAGUAAAGCUCAAGGGCCUGCAACACCAAGAAAUAUACAUAAGUGGGGGAGGUUUUCAAUCAAAGUCCAUGUAUUGUUGUAUGUAUAUAAAAAUACACAUACCUGGACUGUUUUCUCAGAGAUGUUCAUGUGCUUUACACUCGAUAUCCCAGAGAGAAAGUAACGGAUUUCAUUUCUCUUUGAUAAGUCCCCCGGAUCAACGAACUCGCCAAACUUGACAGCGAACUUGAUACCAAGAUCAACCAUGAACAAAGAAGUCAGGUUCUUUACCAUGACGCUAUCAUAAUGAUCUUCUCCGAGAGUCAUAUGCUCUAGCAUUGGAGCAUCGAUCUCAAGCGUGCAUUUCACAGACGACCUGCAACGCUUACCGUGCCAGAGCGGAACACGAAACCUCUUCAAGCUCCCAGACCUCACACGCAUAAUCUUUUCAUCCGUACCCACAAGAAUAGGAUCCAUAUUCCUUACCAAUGUAAGUUCCUCAAGAACAGGACACCCUGACACGAGCUUCUCCAGAUCCGCAGCGUAAUGAAAGUGAACUUUCACAAGUAUCAUGGACUUGAGACAAGGCAUCCAAACGAAACCAGGAUCCUCGAGACCAGAAAACGUGAGCUUCAAGGAAACCAAAGUCCUGCUCGUGUAGAGAUUCAGAGGUAUGUAGUCGAUAAAAGGAUAUAAAAAUGCGUCGUCGUGAUCUAUGUACUCGGUAAAGCUCUCGAAGUCUAGAUGUUGAGGUCCGCGGUGAAUCACUGUGCUGAUCCGAUCCCUGAGCCCGCCUAUGUCCUCCACGUUGCCGCACUUCACCUUAAAUUUUAGCAGGCGUGAACCAGGUUCAAACUCGAGAAGCCUGUCAAGGAAACCGAGGACCGCUUCUUCUUCCUCUUCUUCUUCUCUAUAAGGGAAGUCUUCACAGUUUAAGUCAAGAGCUGGAACAUUCAGCCACAGAUUCUUCCAUCUAGUCGAUAAGACGCUUGUCUUCACCGAGUGUUUAGUCGGAAGGUACGAGAGUAUAUGAGUUAGCAAAGACUCCGGCAAUGCGCUGAGCCUAUCGCGCCCAGACAUCACGAGACCUAACCCUAAUAGCAUCAACAAACAAACAACAAAGGAGAUGUCUUUACCGAAUACUAAGCGAUGGGUUUCUCUAGUUUGACAUUACAAUGCGAUUAAAAACGAAAACGGAAUCUGGGUUUUUGAAGAACUCACCGGAGAGUUGAUUAGCAGGAGGAUUAAUGUAGCGGCGAGAAUGAGAGAGAAAGGUGGGAACCUCUUUUUUUUUGUGGUGAUACGAAACCGAUCGUCUGUAUUUAUACUUUUGAAGCGGUUCGGAUUCCCUGAGCGUUUCAAAAAUAAAUGCUGUUAAUUACUUUUUUUAUUUAAUAUAAUUCGUUUUAAAAUUGUGUCGCAUACAUUAAGAAAUCAUUAAUUUUUUAUAUUUUCUAAAUAAAAACAUCAUUAAUUUUUUACUUAACCACAAAUCAAUCAAUAAUAAAAUAGAAGUUAUAUUAUAAUUGGUCAUAUAACAUUAAGUGUUAAUAAAUUUUACAUAGAAAACCGAAAACGUCAUAUAAUUUGGAACAUAAAAAUUUUUCUAAAAUGACUUAUAUUAAAAAACGGAGGGAGAAAAAUGUACCAUAAAGAUCUUUUCUUAUGAAUUCAGCAAAUCGUUUAGUUUUGGGAAAAUGCAUAUUUCCAUUGUCAAAUUGAUUUCUUUUGUGAGAUUUGAUAUCCAAACAAUCUUCCAAAAUUAAUUAUUUUUGUUAAUUAUAAAAGCAAAAAAUAGUAACUGAGAUUCGGUUGAUAAAUUGCGUUUGUUAUGCAGAUUUUAUUGGUAAAGAAUUAAGAGAAGUCCAAACCGCUAUUUUCUACAUUCAACAUGAUUAAUGGAGUAUUUGAAUAUAUUCUAAAUAUUGCAAAAUCAAAAUAUGAAUAAAUGCUUAGAAACGUGGUAUAUAUGUGUUUUAUUACUUAGUUAAGAAUAUUAUUUUUUUGUUUAAACGUAUUAUUCUAAAUCAAGACAAUCCUAAAUUAAGAAAUUAUAUUGCCUACUUAGUUUCUUGAAUAUAUGUAUAUAACAUUUGAAUGAGGUCCAUUUGGUUCAUGAAAAGUAUGUAGUUGGAUACUCUACUAAUCCUUUUUAAAAGCAUACGAUCCGAACUGGAACUGGUAUCACCAACACUAAGGAACUAACAUGUUUUUGUGUCUUCACUAAAGCAAAAACUCCCAUCUCACAAAGGCAUAAAAGCUCAGUCGGUCUUGGCACCUGAAGUGUGAGGUAUCCAAUUUGCUCUCCAUGUAAUGGAAGGACAAAGAAGACGCUCUGUUUUCCAACCUCCUGAUCUCAGCUAACAUAAACAAGGAAACAAAAGAAAAAAAAGAGAGUGAAAAUCAAAAGCUAAUACAGUCGAUUUCAUGUUGUAGAUAAUAAUGAUCUAAGUUACCUUGUUGAGGAACUCGUCAUAAUGUUUAUCUAUCCAAGCUUCUCCUUCUGAAUAAAAAGAUGUGCUCUUUUCCAUGAGAUUUGCCAUAGCAAUGGCGUGAAUAUACGACUUCAACACAUCUCCAGCUGUUGAGUCUUUGUGCAAGAUCACACUUACAUUUCCCUCUCUAUGUGCCAAUAAGUACUUAGCUGUAGGAGUUUACAAUACGGCAAAACGUUAGCAAAUAUGAAACAGAGAAACAUAAUGGAAGAAGAAAUCAAAUCAAACCAUUCUUGUGAGAAGACGCUCCAGCACCAUUUAGGAGUUGCAUUCUGCACAUAAAAUUGUCAAACCUCGCAAGGAUUAUUUCCCUUAAGGCUGUGAAAAAUCUUAGUUUCUUAUAAACUAGGACUUGUAGUGGUUAAAGUAUAGAACUUACAUAUCUGGACGAGGGAGAGAAGAAACUCUUACACCUACGUGCACUCUCUUGUGCAAUGCGUUUGAAUCAGUUGACUUCGAAUAAGUGGCCCACAUGGGCAAUACACCCUCCAUUGAAGAAACCAGUUCCGGCGAGAGAACUGGCGACAUGUUUGGUUAAAGAAAAUUCCUAAUGCAUAUGAUACAAUGAUAAAAAAGGAAGACAUUGAAACGUUCUGAGAAUUACCUUGGCCAGUUUGCAUGAAAUGUGCUAGAAGAAUCGAACUCCUCUCGAAGUUCAAUGAAUUCAAUACAAGGCACCGGACAGCUCUAUAGUUUGCUAAAUACGUAAGAAAAUAAAACCAGUUAAUGAAAAGAAGUAGAAAAAUACUGAUUUUGAUCUAGGAUUUUAAAUAACAUGUGUAACUUACCAUACAUAUGAAACACAGUGAGGGAGAGAAAAGAUAACCAAAUAGCUAGAGGGUUUCCAGAGGUAAACCGAGCAAGCAACAUUCCCAAUGACAUACCCAUCAUAGUUGCCAUAGUCUCUUGGCUUCCUUCCUUUCAAUAGAUAAUACCCCCAAAAAAAAACUACUAAAAAAUUCACAUUUAUAGUUUCUGAAUCAUUUAGGAGUGAAAAGAAGUUAAGAGAGUACUUUAGCAGAUAUAUCCGCAGCAUUUUCUUGGAGAGCAAAGUGCUGAGUUAGAGCUGCUCUGGUUGCUCCACUUGCAACACCGGCUAAAUUCAAGCAGUGGAGAUCAACAAUAUGUAUAUCAGCUAAAGUGGAAGUCUUAACUUCAAUGGUUGACGCAAGUAAUGAAACUUACUAAAUGAUCUUGAAAGACUCCCUAAGCAAACCACGAUGAUAAAGGCAGAUGGAAAUAGAGGAGAGAGAAGGUCCAUCAGCAUUCCUGAAAUAAAUGCAACAAAGCUUGUAGUCAUUCAAAGUCUCAGAGAACCAAAUACAGGGGAAAUAUAUUCAAUUGUGAGUGUGGCCAACUAACUGUUACUAGCGUGAUGAAUGAAAAAAACAUAACAAAAGAACAUACCGAUAUCGUUCAUAAGGUCCGCAACUAGACGCCACAUUUUUGCAUUACUAUCCAGGUUGGAACCCUGACGAACCGAAAAAAAAACCAGAGAGUUCCCAUUUUGUAUUAGAGACUGACAUUGAUGCUCAGAAAAUAAAGGGAGACAAUUGCUGAUGACAAAUCAUCAACGUUCCCACACAACAUCAAAACCAACGGAGCCAUGCUAGAUUUUGAAGAGGAAGAGAACUUGUAAGGUAUAUGAUUGGGGAGAAUCUAAGCACCUGAUAAAAAGUGAACAAAAUGCCUCCAAGCAUCCCAGUGAAAUCCCUAAGAAACCACUGCAUAGUACAAACAAGAGAUAAUAAUCACUCUAAUAAAAUGACAAUUUGGCAGUGUUUGAGAGAGCCAAUCAGUCCCAAAGCAGGAGAAUAUGUUCAGCAAUUAGAAAACUCACCUGAAAGGUAGCACCUAUAACCGUUGCGGAUUUCUCACCAACCCCAAUUGCACUCAAAAGAGCCUGUAGAAAUAGUCCAAAUCAGCAAACGCUGCAGCAGGACAAAAACCAAGAACUCAAAAAGCUCAAAAACUUGAUCUCACCUGAGUUGAAAGCAUCAUCUUUAUAUACGUUGAGAGGCCCUGCAGGGAAAAGAAAAAAAAAAACAAACAAACCCCCAAUUGUUAGAGUAGCCAGCCAUAAGGCACACAGGUAUGAUGAUCACACAUACCUGCAACGUGUCCCAUAGUUGAAACCCUACAUAAUCUGGAGUUACACUAUCAGGGAAGCCCUGCAUUAUUGAACAAAGUAAAACUCAGUUGUCUCAAUGAUCCUCUAUAGAAACAUAAUCAUAAUUCGAGAAGAGGCUCACUUGCCUCGGGUACAAAAGCUUGAAGAACUCGUCUCCAUACAUGGUUGAUUCGAUUAGCAGACCUGUUAAUCACACACCCAUGAGUUAAAAUUCUCAACUUGCAACGAGAUUUUGAAUUGGAAUAGAAAACAGAGGGGGAGAAAGGGAGAGCCUUUGGAUGGAGAGGGAAGAGGAGGCAGUGAUGCUUGCUGUUCUGAAUAGCUUAGUAGAAGAAGAGCCGUUCCAUUCUUCGAGUGUGAUCGAUCCACAAACAGAGUGUUCUUCUUCUCCUUCUCCUUCCCCUCCCAUGGCCAAUCUUGGGAAAGAAAGUGAGUGUGAAUGUUUUGUUUAGAUAUUGGGCCUUUGAGUUGGGUUUCAAUAGCGACCGAAGAGAUGUUUAGACUUUGUGUUUUAAAAGCAAACGAAAGUCAUACAAAAACAGUGCGAGAGUCAUAUUUAAAUAUUCUUUUUCUUCAUUAACAUUUAAAUACUCAUAUCAACUCUUCGCUUACUCUUCUUUGAUGAGGGAAUCUCAAGACUGGUCAUUUCUAAACGACUCCUCAGGUUGCUCCAAACUUGUAAAUCUUUCAUCCACUUUUGAAUUUUGAUGAUUGUGGAUUUAAUAACAAGUAUUCAACUUCUGCUCACAUGUUGUUUGUUUCAGGCUCUUCUUUCUCUUAAAAAAAAUAAGUCAUGAGGGAGCAACAAUAUUUUGUAAUCCUGGUGAUUGUUGUAGGAGCUUUUCAAGAAGUGAAUUGUCAUAUAGAAAAACCUUUAUCAGGAAUUGCUAUCCAUAAAACGACGUUCCAUCUCAAUGAAAAAGCUCAUGUCAAUGCAUCUCCAGCCGUUCUUGGAUCUAAUGUAAUAAUAGCCAUUCUCUCUUCAUCAUGUCAAAUAUAUUAUUUGAUAAAAAUUGCCAAACUUCAUUGAAUUUUUUAUUUGGCAGGGUCAACAUAGUGAACAUGUGUUGGUGGAAUUUAGUUCUCCAUACCCAUCAGAUGAUGACUGGAUUGGAGUGUUUUCAGCUGCAGAUUUCAUGUAGGUUAUUAUUAAACACAUUCUUUCCCAACAAGAAUUAGUUUUGAGGUUGAAAUAAUAACUUGUGUUUUUUCUUACAGGUCUUCUUCUUGUCCAGGAGAUAACAAGAAAAGUGUGAACCGACCUCGAGUGUGUUCAGUUCCUAUCAAGGUUUUUUCUCAUAACAUGAUUCACCAUUGUGACUGCUAGCUUCUCUACUAUACAACAAGUCUUUUAGCUCAUUACUACUCUUCUUCUUCUCUUUUUACAGUUCCAAUAUGCAAACAUUAGUAAUCCAAGAUACAACAGUACUGGAGGCGGUUCUAUGAAGCUUCAACUGAUCAACCAGAGAUCAGAUUUUUCCUUCGCUCUCUUUUCUGGCGGUUUGUUGAAUGUAUUACUCAUUCACCUAUAACAUUCUCUAGCUUUACUACAGGUUUUCUAGCUAAAACCUUUUCUUGGUUUUGAUUUUUCCCCUUAGCCAAAGCUUGUGGCAAUCUCAAACAAAGUAGCCUUUGAGAACCCAAACGCACCAGUUUACCCUCGCUUGGCGCUAGGCAAAGAAUGGAACGAAGUAAGAUCCUGUAAACCCCCUCUUCACUUGAAAUGAGUUUUCUCAAACGUCUCUCAUUUUAACAGAUGACAGUGACAUGGACUAGUGGUUAUGGACCCCAUGUAGCAGAACCUGUAGUCGAGUGGGGAAUUAAAGGAGGAAAAAGUAAACUCUCACACGCUAGGACACUGACCUACGGGCCUAACGACUUGUGUGGUCCUCCUGCAAGGACUAUUGGAUGGCGUGAUCCUGGAUACAUACACACAUCUUUCCUCAAAGAGUUGUGGCCGAGCUCCAAGUAUACAUACAAAGUUGGGCAUAGAUUGUCCAAUGCUGGUGCAUUCAUAUGGAGUAAAGAGUAUCACUUCAAAUCUUCUCCAUUUCCAGGCCAAGACUCACUCCAACAUGUUGUGAUCUUUGGUGACAUGGGAAAGGUUUGGUCUAAAAAUCAUAUCAUAUUUUUGUUUUUUCUUUAAUCUGUUGUAGUCUCAAAGACUGUAUUCAUUAUAGGCCGAGGUUGAUGGGUCAAACGACUACAGCAGUACCCAACGCCCUUCUUUAAACACCACUAGGCAACUCAUUAAAGAUCUAAACAAGACAGAUGCUGUUUUCCACAUUGGAGAUAUCUGUUAUGCAAGUGGAUAUCUUUCCCAGUGGGACCAAUUCACAGCUCAGAUUGAGCCCAUUGCUUCCACUGUUCCAUACAUGAUUGCAAGGUUUUUUUUUUGCCUUUCUUUUUUCUUGUUUUGAUAUAUAUUUUUCUUGUUUACCUGAGUGUCUGAAAGUUAACUAUGUGCAGCGGGAACCAUGAGCGCGACUGGCCCCACUCGGGAUCGUUUUACCAUGGUGUAGAUUCUGGAGGAGAAUGUGGUGUACCAGCUGAGACAAUGUUCUAUGUUCCUAAUCAAAACAGAGAUAAGUUAUGGUACUCUAGUGACUACGGAAUGUUUAGGUUCUGCGUGGCUGACACGGAGCAGGACUGGAGUAAAGGAACAGAUCAAUACAAGUUCAUUGAGCACUGCUUAGCAUCAGUGGACAGAAAAAAACAGCCGUGGCUUAUAUUCUUGGCUCACCGCGUGCUCGGUUAUUCCUCUACAUCAUUCUAUGCGGAAACAGGCUAUUUCGCUGAACGAUUGGGGAGAGUUCAUCUUGAAAAGCUCUGGAAGAAGUACAAAGUGGACAUUGCAGUCUAUGGCCAUGCACAUAACUACGAGAGAACAUGCCCGGUUUAUCAGGUAAAUUAAAUAUAAUGUCUUAGCUCAACUAAAAAAAAGUAUUCUGAAAUUUCUAAUGAUUGGAUCGUUCUAAUGCUUUCUUUUUAAUGCUGUGUGUAGAGUUUAUGCACGAAUUAUGAGAAAGUAACUACAAGAGUCCAAUGGAUGGGACAAUCCACGUAGUUGCUGGAGGUGGAGGAGCUCAUCUUGCUGAAUUCUCCAGGCAGCAACCGAAUUGGAGUCUGUUCAGAGAUUACGACCAUGGAUACGUUAAACUUACAGCGAUUGAUCACUCUAGUCUUUUGUUCGAAUACAAGAAGAGCAGCGACGGACGAGUCCAUGAUUCAUUUAAGAUAUCAAGAGGUUACAGAGAUGAUUCGGCUUGUGGUGUUGAUAGUUGCCCUGCAACAACACAUGCUACAUAAAAAAAGAAGAUCUUUCCGCGGUCAAACUAGUCACUGUUCCAUUGUUAAACUCUUCGUAGUGAUAACACGUCAAUCAUAGUUACUAUACUAUAGUAUUCAAGCAAGAAUCAUAAAUAUCAUUUGAUGAUUCUUUGAUGUAUUACACCUAAAAAUACAAGAGAAUCUUGAUAUUCAACAAGAUUGAGAUUUGGCAUUUCAUUCUUAAAGCCAAACAUGCAGAAGAUAUCCAAAAGAUAUUUUUAUAAAAACAACGACACGUUCUAGUUUUUUUACCAGAGUCUUCUAGUCAAAACGUUGAAGGAGAAGUGUUGACAACGAUAUGCCGAAGGGGACGAUCAACAUCUCCACCGCCACCGUGUUUAACAAACUCUGCUGGUGUCAAGAAACUGCCAUGGCAAAUGCACAUGAUCCGAACUUCCUCUCCCACUUUCCCGUACUUGUAUAGAAUGCCGUCGACACGUCUUCCGUUUGGACCGUCUCCUUUAGUGAACACACACGGCAUGUCAAACAAACCUGUAGACGUAGGAACCCUCCCUUUGCCUUUCCCAUCAUCCUCUCCUUUCUCCGUUCCGUGGAUUUCGCUGUUAUUAGAUGAACAUCUUCUCAUGAUCUUUGGACUCAUGUCCUCACCACAACUAUUUGAUGAACCUACAAGACCACCAACAUAACCUUUGUCAAUUUCUAUGAUAGCACUAUUCUAUAUAGUCUAUAAGACUAAAACAAUGUUGCUAACAUACAUACCUUGUUGAUGAUUCUUGUUGUCAAGCUCGGACAAGCUAGAAGAGCUACCUCCUCCUACUCUUCCACCAUCGGAAUCAACGCAAGAAACCAAAUGUCUCUCAAACGACGACGUUUGCUCGUCUCCAGCUCUGAAACUCUGUUUCUCGCAUCUCCUCACCGACUGCAUCUCUUUCCUUUUCCUCCACCCCUCCUCUAUCUCCGCCGGCAACGACGUCGUUCUCGCUAAACCCACCGCGUAACUAUUCUCCGGCUCGGCCACAAACGGCGCAGCGCCCAAAACAGAAGAAGAUCGUUUAAGCUUCCUCGGAGUCUUGUCUACUCCGAAUCGACCUCCUAAAGAGAGACCGAGAUUCAGCUCAACCGCUGUCUCGUCUUCUUCGCAGUCCGAUGUUUCACCGCCGUUUUCAGACGGAUCUGUCGGGUGUUUAUUUAUGUCCAGAGAAAGGUUUGUCGUUAACGUCAUGUCUCUGUUGUUGUUCCAUGCCCUUUGUUGUUGUCUACUUGCUUCUUCCCCCAUUGAUUACUAAACAACUGAUGAUGAUGAAAGACAAAAAGAAUCAUACUUGAACAUAUUAUAGAACCAAUUCAUACGGAUCAAAGUUAGUUUUAUGGAACGAGAAAACUCGUCGGGGUUUACCAGAGAAGGUAAGGUGGUGGUGAAGAAGACGAGAGAUGCUUAAACUGAAGUUGACCUGAAGGAGAAAACGCUUUUUUUUUAGAUAAUUAAGAGAUUAAAAAAAUGAAAAGAGAGAUGGAGGAAGAAGAGAAAGAGAGAGAGAGAGACAGAAGAGCCUCUUGAGUGCGAAGAGGCAAGUGGCCGGCGAGAGAGCUGCCUGAACGACACGUGGCCGGUUGAUUACAUCGGCGUUGCAUAAUGCUGCUUGAGGAAACGUGUCGUAAAGCGGCUGAGUUAAUCACAGAUACGACACGUGUCUCCCAAGUAAAAAGAUGCGUUUACUCUUUUGUUCAAAAAAAAAACAUAAAAUCGAAUUCUGAUUAAUCUAAGCGACUCGACAACGUCACUCACGUGGCUCGGACCGUGGAACCCACUAGGGAAGCAAGUUGCUUGUGGAAAAAGUGAAGGAAGGAGAAUAUAACACUUCAUUUUGUAAAAGAAAAAAGUUAUUAUUUCCUUUAAUUAUUACUACAUAAAGGCAAAUUCAAAUAAAUUAAAAGACUAACAUAUCAUAAAGUAUUAAGGUAACGUUUUUUGGUAUUAUCAACAUAACAAGCUGAAAUUUUAGUGAGAAAAGUGUAAGUUAAUUGAUUGAGUGAAAGUUAGGUUGGAGAAUGGAAUCUAUAAAUUGAAAAGAAGAUUUUUAGAAUCUUUGGUGGGUCAUUUUGUUUAGUCAAGUGGGGGACCCCAAAAUACCACGUGUCAUUCACCUGUUGGUUUUUAUUACGAGGAAACUAUAAUAAUAGAGCAGUGAAGAUUGAAGAAGACCCUCCCUCCCUAUCCACUUUCCCAUCUCCAAGAAGCCCAUAAGGUAUAAGGGCUUGCCCAUGUUGCCUUUUCUACUGGCACAUGCAUCAAACCAAGCUCACAAGGAAUUUUCUGGUUGGGAUAUUUUUGUUUGUUAACCGGUCCAAAUAAAAAAGCUUACCAGAUCAUACUCAUCAAUAAUUUGUGAAGCGAUUUUUCGCAACAAAACUUUAGAAACCGAUGAUAUCUUAAUGAAUUCGUAUAUAUAAUAAUAUUAGAUUUUUAAACAAUUAGAUAAUUUUACAUUGUGUUGUUAUAUGAAAAUAAUAUUUUCUAUUAAAAAUUUAAGAUAUUAAAAAUUUUAUAAUUAAUUUUUAAUUAAGAAAAAACAUUUGUAUAAAGCUAUUUUCUAAAAUAUUUUUAAUAUGGGAGCAUAUAUAAUUUAAUUAAGAACUUUAUUAUAUAUAAAUAAUUUGAUGUUUGAUUUAAACUUUUUAAGAACAUAAAAUGCUAGUUUUUUAAUUAAUAAAACAUAAACUAAUAAAUACUUGGAGAAAAUUAUGUGCAUAUGUGUGGACAGAUGAGUAUUUGUAAAAAAAAUUAUGCUUGUAUAUUAAAAAAAAAAAUUAAGUGCGGACAAAAUAUCUGGUAUUAAAAAAAUUAUCAAAAUCUCAAAUGAAAGGAGUGUCAACAAAACUUCUAAUCUCUACCUCUCUUCUCUUCCUAUAAAAACUUUCAGAUUCUCAAUUUCAGAUGAAUAAAGCAACAACAACAACAGGCAUGUUCCUUUGCUGACCCAGGUGAUUCAUCUGGGUGAAGAUGCAAAUUGAUGUUCGUUUAGUGCAUUAUAAUGUUACAUCCAGAUGGAUCACCCAGCUGAAUUUUUAAAACUCAUCUCAAAUUCUCACCCAAAUGAAGGUGAGUCUUGACGAUGCAUCUGGAUGCAGAUGCAUCUAGUUCAGUCCAAAAUGAUAAAUGACAAAAAUGACCUUUUUAAAAUCAAAAUAUUAUUUUCAAACCGUAAAUUCUAUUUUUUUGCAUAUACAUUUUUCCGUUAUAACCAAAAAAUACAUUUUCUCGCAAAAACAGAAAAACACAUUUUCCCGCCAAAACCGCAAGAUGCAUUUUUCCGCAAAAAAUAUAAAACACACAUUUUCAUUAAAACACAUUUUUCGGCUAAACCAGUAAAACCACACUUUUCGACCAAAACCCAAAAAAACGCAUAUUCCCGCCAAAACUCCAAAAGCAUUUUCCGGCCAAAACCGCAAAAAAAACAUUUUUCCGCCAAAACCGAAAGCAACGCAUUUUCUCGUCAAAACAAAAAAAAAACAUUUUCUCGCCAAAACCGGAAAACACAAUUUUCCCGCCAAAACCAGAAAACAGAAUUUUCCCGCCAAAACUGGAAAACUGAAUUUUCCCGCCAAAACCAGAAAACAGAAUUUUUCCACCAAAACCGAAAAAACGCAUUUUCCCGCCAAAACCGAAAAAACACAAUUUUCCUGCUAAAACCGAAAACACAUUUUUUCCGCCAAACCGGAAAACAAAAUUUUCCCGCCAAAACUAGAAAAUGUAAUUUUCCCGCCAGAACCAGAAAACAUAAUUUUCCCGCCAAAACCGGAAAAAUGUAUUUUUUCCACCAAAACCGGAAAAACGUAUUUCCCGCUAAAAUUGGAAAACAUAUUUUCCCGUUAAAACCGGAAAAACGCAUUUUCCCGCCAAAACCGGAAAAACGCAUUUUCCCGCCAAAACCGGAAAAUUUUAUUUUUCCGCCAAAACCGGAAAAAAUGUAUUUUCCCGCCAAAACCGGAAAAAUAUAUUUUACCGCCAAAACCGGAAAAUGAAAUUUUCCCGCCAAAACCAGAAAACGCAUUUUCCGGCCUAAAGCUUAUUUUUCCGCCAAAACCGGAAAACGCAUUUUCCCGCCAAAAUCGGAAAACGCAUUUUCCCGCCAAAACCGGAAAAGCGCAUUUCCCGCCAAAUCGCGAAAAAUAACUUUUCCCGCAAAAAUCGUGAAAAAAACUUUUCCCGUCAAAAACACUUUUCUCGCCAAAACUUCAAAACAUACUGUUUCCGUCCAAACCGCAAAAACGUAUUUUUCCGCCAAACCCAUAAAAAUGCACUUUUUUCGCGAAAAACACAUAUUUCCUCAAAAACCAAAAAAAUAUUUUCGGCCAAAACCGUAAAAAUGCUAUUUUUCCGCCGAAACGUAAAAAAAUAUAUUUUAGUCAUUUUAUUAACAAAUCCACCUGGAUGCAGAUGGAAGUUACAAAAUGAAAAGCAAACGAACAUAGUUGCAUUCAGAUGAUUCAUCUGGAUGCAUGGACGAAAUGAAGAAACGAACAACACCCAAAUGGAACAUCUAGAUAAGACAUCUAGGUGGACCAUCUGGAUGCAUCUUCCAGAUGUACAAACGAACAGGGCCAACAUAGUUUUAAAACUCUCUUUAGCCUCUGGCUCGGCUAGAUUUCACCAAACCAUUCUGAUAAGCCCUGCUGCCAUCACCAUUAUUAUUGGCCUCAGCAUUGCGUGAUUCUCCUCUUCUCUCAUAUCCAUUUCCUCCAUGGCCUCGUCCUCCUCCGUUGAAACCGUUGCCCCUAGGCCUGAACCCGUCGUUUCUGUAACCGUUCUCGCUCCUAUAACCUCCGUUUCUCGUUGAAGAUCUGCCAUUCUCGUUGUUGCCUGCAGAAGAUUCAAGUCAUAAAGCUGGAAACAAUACUCAAAAAAGAACUAAACUUUGUUUUGUUUAACUAAUACUAACCUCGUUUCUCUUCUAUGGAAACUCUUCUGUUUCCGAUUCUAAUGGCUGACUCCUUGUGAGCCUAGAGUUGUGUGAUGCAACACAUCAGAAGAAAGCAUUCCAGUUUACAAUCAAAAGUUGAAUUCAUAGAUGUUUAAACAUACCUGGAGGACCAGUUUCACAGCUUCAGCAGACUCGAAUGUCACAAACCCGAAGCAGUUUCGCUUCAGCUGAUUAAAAAAAAAGAUCAAAACCUUUUUGAGUUUCUAGACGAAAUGUCCUUUUUCAUAAAAAAAAAAAAAAAAAAAAAAACUCACUCUGUAACUUCUAACUUGGAUAGCAUCAUUCUUAAUGGCACCAAACCCUUUGAAUGUUUCGUUGAGCUGCUCGGGUGUCGCAUCCAUAGGCAAGUUCGCAACAAAUAUAGAACCACCCUCAGCUGUUACAAUACAAGCAACUAAUAGGGGUAGGCUUUACACAAGAAGCUUUAACAACGAAUGUUAAAACAAAACCUGAUUGGUUGUCGAUUUGGGAAACAGGCGCAGGAGCUUUGGACUCAAGAGCAGCGCUCAGCUUUUUAACAGGCUUAGGCUUUGCAGUAGAAGCUUUGACAUUGAAGGCAGCACCAACUUUAGCUGGGGACUGGACCUAAGUGCAACUCUUUUAGAUUAGAUAAGCUCAGAUUGAGCAAUAGAACACAGCGAAGGAGGACUCACAAUUACUGCAAAUGAUUUCUUGGGAGCAUCCACACCGUUGCAGAUAAUAUCGUUCACAACUUUUUCCUCUUCUGUUAUGGGAUGUCCAUUUGACAUAGUUAUGCUGAUAAUAGUGUCUGUUGUUGUUUGGACUGCUUGAGGAGUCACCUCCUCCUCAACCUCCUUCUUGUUAGCUUCUGGUUCAACAAAAAGCUCAUCAGAGACAUACCUAAACACAUCGUUGAGCACAAAGUAGCUUCCUUUCUGCGGCACGAGGAAGAAAGACUGAGAAAAUCUCAUCCUCUCCCCAUCAUUCACGGUGAGCAAGCCCGUGACCAAAGUAACAACUCCACUCAUGUAAGAAGCUUGGGAGUCAGCAGUCAAAAUCUGAAUCUUUGAGUUCUCGUAAUCAAAGGACAUGAUCUGCUCAUUAAUAGCCUACAAAACAGAAGCUCCCUAAUAUCAAAAAAGCUGCUUCCAAAAAUGAACAUCAUCUGUAACUGUAUCUUUACUUUUAAGGAGUUGACAGAGACCAUCUCUCCAUCAGAACCAGGCCUCCCUAAAACACUGUCCUCGAGAUAGAACCGAUGCACUUGUGAGGGUGAUUCGUACAAGUGGGUGUAGUAUUUCUUAACAAACGCAUUCCCAACAAUGUGUGGAUCCGCCAAUGGAGCAUUUGAUUCGAGUGCCAUCUCUCUCUACAUAAUCCAAUGGUUUCAGAAACAAAAGAAUAAAAAACAAAGAGGUUUUGGACGAAACUCAAAAACUAAAAAAAGAGGUGUCUUUGUGUGAUUCAAUACAAAAUCAAAAUCUAUACAUUGUCUCGCAUUCCAAUCUAUACGAAAUAAUCAAAUCUCAGGAAGAGUUGAUUGAGUACUUGCGAUGAAUCUUUAAACUGAAUUAUUGAAAUGAGUCCCAAAAUAAAUAAAUAAAUGUUUGUGAUGAAACAAGUGUUUGGUAUAUUAAGUAGAACAUGUAUUAGGAUGAACAGAUAAGAAAGAAAAAAGAGAAGCAAAAUAAUACCUUGGAAGAUGAGAAGAGAAGAAGAAAUCUUAGAUCAGAGUGAAGAGAAGAUAGACAGAGACGAGCGAUGAGUAUAAUAUUAUUUUAUGUGUGUGGCUUUUUCUUCUCUAGGGUUUUUACUUAGUUGGAAAAGAAUUGGGAUUCUCGUAGUUGCUGUAGUGGCUUUUCUACAGAUUUUCACAGUAAAAUUAUUGGCUAAGAAUUCAAAUGUUAUUUAUUCAUAACUAAGCAAAAUGAAUAGAAAAAUAUUAAUAAAAGCCCCCGGCGAGGAUCGAACUCGCGGCCUUUCGCUUACGAAGCGAACGCAAUACCACUAUGCUACGGAGGCUUAUGACAAGCUCACAGUUUUAAAAUUUAAUGUUCUUUAAUGAAAUUUUAAAAGUUACGUGUUUGUUUUAUCGCUGAUUUAAGUCUUGAAUUCAAAUACCAAUGUGCAUGGAAAGAACUUUUAAACUUGCAGUGAUCACUUCGAUAUGGAUUUUAUGUGCUAGUAAGAAUGUCUCUGCUAUAAAUUAUCGGCUCAAUACAGAUUUAGCUGAUGGGCUAGAGUUCGUAAAGCCCAUGAAUCUAACUCCCACAACGGCAUUCUAUCCAUUGAGCCAUCGCAUCAUUAUUUUUCUGUUUUUGAUCAAACCAAACUUCCAUUAAACUUAAACGAGUUUAAACUCCACUAAAAGAGUAUAGAACAAGACCAUCGAAAGCCAAACAGUCAAAUAAACUGAACGAUAGAGAGAUAACAUGACGAUACAAUUUACAAAAGACACCAUAAGAAAGUGCAUAACGACAAUUUCAUAGACUCUUUGAAAAACUGCAUGUAGUGUAACCAGGUCCGGCUCACAUAUAUUAUAGGCCUAGUGCUGAGUAGUUUUUCUUUGUUAAAGCUUUACCUUUAUUUUUUUCUUAAAUUAGGGACCUAAAUAUUUAUGAUUUUAAGAAAUUAAGGUCUAAUCACUGAAGAAAAAUCAAAGCAAAAUAAAAGUCCAUGUGCAAAAGCAAUCAGAGCACACGCUUUCACCCGGCUCUGAGUGUAAUCCAAAGAGUCACAAACUCCGCAACAAUGGGAAAGAAACGCAUUAACCGGGAGAAAAAUCUUUUUCAAUACCAGUAAUGCUUGUUCAUCCAGUUCACUCCAAACGUGAGGAAAUAUUGGAAAAAGAAACUGCUUCAGACGAGAAGUACAUGAGAGAUAAAUACUCGUCCUAACCGGAUUCACCAGGAAGAGCCAUCGCAUCACGGAUCAUCAUCCACUUCGACAACAUACAUAGUUGUUGUUUUUUUAAAUUGAUAAAGGAUAUUUACGGAUAUAGUUACAUAUCAAAGGAUAUUUAAUAUUUUCAUUAAGAACCCAUUUGGAUUAUUACGAAUUAACGGUACUACCUCUCUUUUAUUUUAAUUGUCGUUUUAGCGUUGUACAUACAGAUUAAGAAAAUAUUUAAUUUUGUAUAUUUACUAAAUAAAAACAUCAUUACUAAUACACUUAACCACAUUUCAACAUUCGAAAAAUAGAAUUGAAUAUAAAUCAAUAAAUUUUAUAUUAAAAUUAUAAAACAUAAUUUAUUUUGAAACGGAAAUUUUACUCUGUAACAUCAACUAAACUGAAACGGAUGGAGUAUUAUAGAAGUGACAUAGAAAAUCAUUUUCUAAAAAGAACAAAAACUAUAAUUUCACCAUACCCGCUAAAAUAUCAUCAAAACAAUUUAUUUUUAAACUGCUAAUUUCACAUUGUAACUGCUAUUUCACAUUGUAUUAUUAAUUUUUUUUAUAAUCUUAUAUUCAUGUCCUAGUGUUAUUUAUUACCCACUAUUAUAUAUGCAUCAUACUAUUAUUUAUUGCUUUAUUAGUCUCAAAUCCCCUAUAUAUUAAUUGAAGAACAUUUGAAAAGAUGUAACCUAAAUUUUGUAUUAAUUAAAAUAGGCUCCAAUGCAUAGGUGGCACUCAAUUAGGUAGUCAAUUACAUUCAAUUGAAAAAUAAAUAGGUCCACAUUCGAUUUUUAUAUGUUGUUAGAUACAUAAGUUGGUCAAACUAUAUGAUAUAAUGAUAUGAUAUGCUAUUUUCUUUCCUUAAAUCAAACCUACGGAAUUACCAUAAAUGACUAAUAUAUAUAUGAUAAUUAUUGAUUUUAAUAAUAAAGAUUUGAUAACAAUUUAUAUUUCCUCCAUCAUUUUUUGUUUAAUUUUAUAUUAUUAAAAUAAAUUAAACAAUCAAAUUAGCUAUAAAAGUAAAAUUUAGAUUUUUUCGUAUAUGUUAUAUUUUGAAUUUUUAAAAACGACAAUAAAUGGCUAAAACUAUUAAAAUUAUUAUGUUAAAAAUUAAUGAUCAAUGGUUUAACAUUUUUAUUAUAAGAAGAUACACAUGAUUUUAAAACCAUAUGAGUAAAAAAUAUCAUUUAAUAAUAAAAUAUAUAUAUAUAUAUAUUAAACACUAUAUACCAUAGGAUUACAUAAAUAUUUUAAUAUUAAAAGUUUCAAUGAAUUUUCAAGAACAAUUAUAAAUUAUAAAUUAUAAACUUAUUAAAGAUUUCAGAUUGAAAAUUUUGUUAUCGAUGAUUUAGAUAUAUUUUGUUAUAAAAUGAUAUGAAUGAUCAUAGAACCGUAUGAUUAUAAAUUCUUAUUUAAUAAAUAACUAUAUAAAAUAUACUAUUCUUAGAAAAAUAGGUUGGUACAUCUUAACUUAUAUUACACUUUUUAUUAAACUAAAUAUCGAAUUGAUAAAUAACGUACCAAAAAAUGUUUUGCACUUUCCUUAAAUAAAAGCUACGAAAUUACCUAAUAUGAUUAACAUAUAUGUGAAAAUUAAUUAUUAUGAAUAAUAAAUAUUUGAUAACAAUUUUUGUAUCUUAGUUCUUUUUAAAAAAAUUAUAUUAUUAAAAGAUAUUAAAAAUCAUAUUAAAUAUAUAAUAAAAAACAUUUAUAUUUUUUUAUAUGUUAUAUUUUGAAUUUUUCAAAACAUCUAUAAAUUAUUAGAAAUUUGAAGAUCACCACUCUUAAAAUUUUGUGAUCAAUAGAUUAUUUUUUUGUCAUAAUAAGUUACAAAUGAUCAUAAAAUUGUAUUAAUAUGAACUUUUAUUUAAUAUUAUAAGAAGAUACACAUGAUUUUAAAACCAUAUGAGUAAAAAAUAUCAUUUAAUAAUAAAACAUAUAUAUAUAUAUAUAUUAAACUAUAUACCAUAAGAUUACAUAAAUAUUUUAAUAUUAAAACUUUCAAUGAAUUUUCAAAAACAUUUAUAAAUUAUAAACUUAUUAAAGAUUUCACAUUGAAAAUUUUGUUAUCGAUGAUUUAAAUAUUCAGUUAUAAAACGAUAUAAAUGAUCAUAGAAGUGUAUGAUUAUAAAUUCUCAUUUAAUAAAUGACUAUAUAAAAUAUACUAUUCUUAAAAAAAUAAGUUGGUCCAUCUUAACUUACAUUAUAUUUUUUAUUAAACUAACUAUCGAAUAUUCGAAUUGAUAAAUAAUCUACCAAAUAUUGUUUUUGCACUUUUCUUAAUUAGAAGCUACGAAAUUACCUAAUAUGAUUAACGUAUAUAUGAAAAUUAAUUAUUAUGAAUAAUAAAUAUUUGAUAACAAUUUUGGUAUCUUAGUUCUUUUUUUAAUUUUAUAUUAUUAAAAGAUAUUAAGAAAAUCACAUUAAAUAUAUAAUAAAAACAUUUAUAUUUUUUCUUAUAUGUUAUAUUUUGAAUUUUUCAAAACGUCUAUAUAUUAUUAGAAAUUUGAAGAUUCUCAUUCUGAAAAUUUUGUUAUCAAUAGAUUAUUUUUUUUGUUAUAAUAAGUUACAAAUGAUCAUAAAAUAUAACGCAUAUGAAUUUUUAUUUAAUAAAUAUUCAAACUAAAUAAUAUAUAUAUAUAUAUAUAUAUAUACUAAUGAUUUAAAGCAACAAGAUUGGCUGAUCAAUUUAGUUGUCCAGUUGAAAUCUUUCAAAAGUGUGUGAAAGACUAAAGUCAAAGUAAAUAUGGAUUUAGAAUAGUAGUUAUAUUUUACUAACCAAAAUACCGAAAAAAUACUGAACCGAAUCGAAACCAACCCGAUAUCUGGAUUGAACACCCCUAAUCCAAAUGAAGCCAAACUAUUUUUUUCAUUCUCCAAAAUAUAAUAAAAAUAAUAACUUAAUUCCGCGCAAGACGCGGAUCUUAUUCUAGUCUAAUUAUAUAAAGAGUUAUUCUUGGGUUCACCCCCUAGGGUGAACCUUUAGGUUCACCAACCAAUAGAAAAUUAUCAUUUUAAAUCUAGUAUCUUUUAAUUAAGGAAACCAAAUAACUUACAAAUUAUAUUAUUUUUUCAAAAUAAAAUUUAAAAAUAAAUAAAAAUAAUAUAUAAAAAACGAAUUCAAAAAAAAAAUGUUGUCAACAAAACACUAAACCCUAAACUCUAAUACUAAACCCUAAACUCAAAUCCCAAACCCUAAAUCCUUGGGUAAACCCUAAAUCCUUGGAUAAACCCCUAAACCCUUGGAAAAAUACUAAACAUGUUGUCAAUAAAGCACU